rnacentral:misc_RNA from 1 species
UCCGGUUUGACACCGGCAGUCUCCCUAGAGUUCCCGGCAUGACCCGCUGGUAACUAGGGACAAGGGUUGCGCUCGUUGCGGGACUUAACCCAACAUCUCACGACGCGAGCUGACGACAGCCAUGCAGCACCUGUGUGGGAGCCAGCCGAACUGAAGGGUCACAUCUCUACGACCCAUACGGGACAUGUCAAGGGCUGGUAAGGUUCUGCGCGUUGCUUCGAAUUGAACCACAUGCUCCACCGCUUGUGCGGGCCCCCGUCAAUUCCUUUGAGUUUUAAUCUUGCGACCGUACUCCCCAGGCGGGAUGCUUAAUGCGUUAGCUGCGCCACUGAUGAGUAAACCCACCAACGGCUAGCAUCCAUCGUUUACGGCGUGGACUAC